GAUCCUGGCUCAGGAUGAACGCUAGCUACAGGCUUAACACAUGCAAGUCGAGGGGCAGCAUGAUCGAAGCUUGCUUGAUGAUGGCGACCGGCGCACGGGUGAGUAACGCGUAUCCAACCUUCCCUAUAGUAGAGAAUAGCCCGGCGAAAGUCGGAUUAAUGCUCUAUGUUGUAUUUAGAGGACAUCUGAAGAAUACCAAAGGUUUACCGCUAUAGGAUGGGGAUGCGUCUGAUUAGGUAGUAAGCGGGGUAACGGCCCACCUAGCCGACGAUCAGUAGGGGUUCUGAGAGGAAGGUCCCCCACAUUGGAACUGAGACACGGUCCAAACUCCUACGGGAGGCAGCAGUGAGGAAUAUUGGUCAAUGGACGGAAGUCUGAACCAGCCAAGUAAGCGUGCAGGAUGACGGCCCUAUGGGUUGUAAACUGCUUUUAUAUAGGGAUAAAGUCGGGGACGUGUCCCCGUUUGUAGGUACUAUAUGAAUAAGGACCGGCUAAUUCCGUGCCAGCCGCUGC
rnacentral:rRNA from 1 species